rnacentral:rRNA from 1 species
UACGUAGGGUGCAAGCGUUAAUCGGAAUUACUGGGCGUAAAGCGUGCGCAGGCGGUCUUGCAAGACAGAUGUGAAAUCCCCGGGCUCAACCUGGGAACUGCAUUUGUGACUGCAAGGCUGGAGUACGGUAGAGGGGGAUGGAAUUCCGCGUGUAGCAGUGAAAUGCGUAGAUAUGCGGAGGAACACCGAUGGCGAAGGCAAUCCCCUGGACCUGUACUGACGCUCAUGCACGAAAGCAUGGGGAGCAAAAGGG